rnacentral:rRNA from 1 species
GAUGAACGCUGGCGGCGUGCCUAAUACAUGCAAGUCGAGCGAAUGGAUUAAGAGCUUGCUCUUAUGAAGUUAGCGGCGGACGGGUGAGUAACACGUGGGUAACCUGCCCAUAAGACUGGGAUAACUCCGGGAAACCGGGGCUAAUACCGGAUAACAUUUUGAACCGCAUGGUUCGAAAUUGAAAGGCGGCUUCGGCUGUCACUUAUGGAUGGACCCGCGUCGCAUUAGCUAGUUGGUGAGGUAACGGCUCACCAAGGCAACGAUGCGUAGCCGACCUGGGAGGGUGGUCGGCCACACUGGGACGGAGACACGGCCCAGACUCCUACGGGAGGCAGCAGUAGGGAAUCUUCCGCAAUGGACGAAAGUCUGACGGAGCAACGCCGCGUGAGUGAUGAAGGCUUUCGGGUCGUAGAACUCUGUUGUUAGGGAAGAACAAGUGCUAGUUGAAUAAGCUGGCACCUUGACGGUACCUAACCAGAAAGCCACGGCUAACUACGUGCCAGCCGCCGCGGUAA